rnacentral:rRNA from 1 species
CAAGACCUGCGCUUUUGGAGCGGCCGAUGCCUGAUUAGCUUGUUGGUAAGGUAAAAGCUUACCAAGGCUUCGAUCAGUAGCUGGUCUGAGAGGACGGCCAGCCACACUGGGACUGAGACACGGCCCAGACUCCUACGGGAGGCAGCAGUGGGGAAUUUUGGACAAUGGGGGCAACCCUGAUCCAGCCAUGCCGCGUGAGUGAAGAAGGCCUUCGGGUUGUGAAGCUCUUUCAGCCGGAACGAAACGGUUACGGUUAAUACCCGUGAUUACUGACGGUACCGGAAGAAGAAGCACCGGCUAACUACGUGCCAGCAGCCGCGGUAAUACGUAGGGUGCGAGCGUUAAUCGGAAUUACUGGGCGUAAAGCGUGCGCAGGUGGUUUUGUAAGUCAGAUGUGAAAGCCCCGGGCUCAACCUGGGAACU